GGGAGGAAUACACCAUGUUUCUUAAGAAUCCAUUCCUAACGAGAAGUGAGAGGAGCGAUGAUUUUUCCCGUGAAGCUGAAUCAUUCCCCGUGGGCGAACCUCCACUCCCACCGCUUCCUCAAUUCUCAGAACAUCCCAGGAGAUAAAGCAAAGGAGCGGCAGCGCCAAGAAAUCUGAGGCGGUCCCUUCACUGGAAACCGAUGCCCAGCAGAGAUAGAGAGAGAGAGAGAGAGAGAGAAACUAUAUAAAGAAUUGGAGUUUUUGGCUUGACUGUCACUCUGAUGGGGAGAAGCGGGGAACUCGAUGCCUAAUCUGGGUGGACGGAAGGUCUACAGUCGGUGUUCGCCGGUUAAUCCUGGCUGGCUGGGUUUCUUGGGCGGCAGCUAAAGGGAGGCGAGCAACAAUGGAUCCGGUAGGAGGUGAUUUUGUGUGUGCUAUAUCUGAACGCUGGCUGAAACUUUGCCUGGUGCUCAGCUGUGAGAACUGAGUUCCAUAGACUGUUGACCCACAUAAUGCUCGGUCUGUGGACCCAGUUCCCCAGUUAGGUGACUGCACACCAACAGUGAGAGUCUACCUCUGAUGCAAGACGCAUGAUGCUCCUGUCAUGAAGACACAGAAGCAGGCCAUUCAGCCCAACAGUUUGUAAGGAUUUUGAGCUAGAAAUUAGUGUCUUGCCCACCAGUAACCCAAUGGAAAUGGACACUGAAUGUUUCAAUUAG